rnacentral:misc_RNA from 1 species
GAUGAAGAACGCAGCGAAAUGCGAUAAGUAAUGUGAAUUGCAGAAUUCAGUGAAUCAUCGAAUCUUUGAACGCACAUUGCGCCCGCCAGUAUUCUGGCGGGCAUGCCUGUUCGAGCGUCAUUACAACCCUCAGGCCCCCGGGCCUGGCGUUGGGGAUCGGCGGAAGCCCCCUGCGGGCACAACGCCGUCCCCCAAAUACAGUGGCGGUCCCGCCGCAGCUUCCAUUGCGUAGUAGCUAACACCUCGCAACUGGAGAGCGGCGCGGCCACGCCGUAAAACACCCAACUUCUGAAUGUUGACCUCGGAUCAGGUAGGGAUACCCGCUGAACUUAAGCAUAUCAAUAAGCGGAGGA